CAAACAUGUGCACACAUGGCUCCCCUGCUCUUUGCAGCUUGAGGAAAGAUCACUCGUGGCCAGAUAUUUACUUCAAUUAUCUCUGAAGCUCCUCUUCUUUUAUUGAGAAGUCAAGUGAAACUCCAACUAAUUUCAAAUUUGAAUUUUCUGGGACAAUAGGAAGGCACUGGAACUUAAUUGAUUUUGAUUACCUGCCUUAUUAUUAUGCUGCCAGUAGCAGUAGUUCGGGUUGGUGUAAUUUUAAAUUUGCUGUGAGAUGAAUCUGACAUUUCUCUACUGCUGAACUGAAGACUUGAGCGAUUCUUCAGCUCUUCACAAAGAUGUUGUAAUUAAUUCAGUAAUAUCACUUCUGUAAGCAGAGAUAGAAAAGGAAGACACAGAAGCACCUACUCCAUGCCUAAGAGCUGAAUGAACGACAGCAUCACUCACUCCAAUCUUAGUGAAAUUUAUUGUACUUUAUUUUUAAACAUUCAAGACAAUUUCUACUGCAAAGACACACCUUCCCCUCUUCUGUCAGCACACGAGCAGGACUUACUAGCAGGCAAUAAUUUACAGCCAAAAGGUCAGCUGUGUUUCCUCAGCUGGAUCCAAGAAGUGUUUCCAUCCCCUGAUGGGCCCUGAGGAAAUCCUCCCACAAUCCAAGUGUAGCUGCUUUUCUUUGCCUCCUUUCCAAGGGGCAGAGAAUGCAGGGAAGCAGAUCCCCUGCCAGUGUUAACCAGCACUGUUCUGCUGCCUCAAAGGGACCUCCAUCAGGAAGAAGAGAAGAUGCUCCAUCUCACCCCAUCCCAUCUCCUUCCUCCUGCCAUGGAAGCACGAGAAAUCACCUCCCCUCCCUGUCUGGAGAGGGGUUUUCCCCUGUGCCAGGUGGCCACUCCAGGGUAUCAGUGGGACAUGGGAAUCCCUCCAGCCCCCGAAACACCCCAGCCUGCUGCCACAGGGCCCCUGUGUCCAUGUGGAUGGGCAGGGGCACCAAGGGCAGGGCAGAUAUUUCCCAUUCCUCCCAGUCCUGCAUUAUGCACCAGGCACCUGCAUCCCUGUUCUGAACAAAACACGUUCCCCUCUCCUGGAUGCAUAUUCACUCCAUUCUGUGCUCUUCACAGCGAGAACAAAAAGGAAGAUACGUUGGGUUUGCAUGUCUACAUGAGCCAUCUGCUUCUAUUUUAUUGA
rnacentral:lncRNA from 1 species